UCCUGGUGGCUCAGAGGUUAAAGCGUCUGCCUUGGAUGCGGGAGACCCAGGUUCGAUCCCUGGGUCGGGAA
rfam:TPA: Bos taurus chromosome 20, whole genome shotgun sequence.